UAAGUGGAGAGUUUGAUCCUGGCUCAGAACGAACGCUGGCGGCGUGCCUAACACAUGCAAGUCGAACGAGAAACUUCCUGCUUGCAGGAAGGAGUAAAGUGGCGCACGGGUGAGUAACGCGUGGGUAACCCACCCCUGAAUUCGGGAUAACUCCUCGAAAGAGGUGCUAAUACCGGAUGCUGUCCCAGAGAUGGUGGUCUCAGGGAUAAAAGGUGACCUCUUCAUGAAAGUUGCCGUUCAGGGACGGCCAGACUCCUACGGGAGGCAGCAGUGAGGAAUUUUGCGCAAUGGGGGAAACCCUGACGCAGCAACGCCGCGUGAGUGAAGAAGGCCUUCGGGUUGUAAAGCUCUGUCAAGUGGGAAAAAAGCCUUUUGGUGAAUAGCCUGGAGGUUUGAUGGUACCACUAGAGGAAGCACCGGCUAACUCCGUGCCAGCAGCCGCGGUAAUACGGAGGGUGCAAGCGUUGUUCGGAAUUACUGGGCGUAAAGCGCGUGCAGGCGGUAAGGUAAGUCAGAUGUGAAAGCCCCGGGCUCAACCCGGGAAGUGCAUUUGAUACUGCCUUUCUUGAGUAUGGGAGAGGAGAGUGGAAUUCCCAGUGUAGAGGUGAAAUUCGUAGAUAUUGGGAGGAACACCCGUGGCGAAGGCGACUCUCUGGACCAAUACUGAC
rnacentral:ncRNA from 1 species